AGAGAUCUGAUCUGCCAUUUUUCACGAAGAAUAGACCCCCCCACAACCCCCAACGUCUUCUUCUUCAGUAUUCACACCCAAAAAACCAAAAAAAAAACCCUAGGAAAUCCCUACUUGAAAAAUCAGGAGCUAACCUAGAGCUAGACCUGAAGCAGUGCCGCAGAACACACAUAGAAGAGACCUCGUCCCCCGCUCGGUGGGUCUUCUGCUAAAGAAGGAAGCAUCCAUUUCCAUGGUUGGCCGCUGAACCAAAAACGACCCCAUCUCCACCUUUACACCACCAUGAAAGACCCAUAAACACCCAUAUUUUUAGCCAUUUACAGCCAUAAACACGACCUCCCCCACCUGAAUUCUUUCUUCUUCGACAAAGAGGAACAAUCCAACUAAAUAAACCACAGAAGGUCAAUGGGUUGCUUCGAAUAUACAGGGCAAGAAAACUAUCAUGUCUGGUUCUGAGAAGUUUGAGGAAGGCAUAAAGAGUUUGAAAGUUGAUUGUGAUUAUGCGUCUGAAACCUUUUGCGUUUGAUGUUGUUCGUUUGCAAAUCCGAGGUGCCGAUUCGAGGUCCGUUGUUGAAUUUUGUCGCGGUUCGGCAAGUUUUGAGGUCUGGAUUGUAGUUCCGUCGAGGUUUUCAUUUUGGUCCAGUGAUUAAUUUCGUUUUUUUGUGUGUGAAGAUUCAGUCUGGAAAAUUGAGAAGAACAACAGAAUAUUGGUGAAAAUCUAUAUCUAUACUGUGCUAAGUUUUGCAUUUAUCAACAAGGUUGCCAUAGUUAGGAAAGAACAAUGAGCUACCAGUAAGGUAAGAUUUCCGCACUUCUUUUGUGGAUUGAUAUUACUGCAGUUUUUCUGACCAGUUGAGGGAAUUUGGCACAAGUUUUAGCUUCAGUUAACUCACCUGCAAUGCUUCAGUUUAUAUGCCAACAAUACACUACUGAAAUUCAGGUUUUGAGCAGUCUUUUGAAAGCAAAUUCUGCACUGUUCAGCUGCACAUUGUCUGCACUUUGUGGUUAUUCUGGUUGAAGCUGCUGCAUAUCUGUGCACAACCUACUAACUAUGAUCACUGUGAGAAGGGGCGUUAGAUGAUGUACAGAAUUAUAUUUUUGUGAACAUUUGUCACGUUAGUGAUCAUUAUUGCUAUAUUCCAUGUGUUAGAGUUGACUCGAUUUCAGCUUUUACACAGAAGCACAAGUUAGUCUUUUUGUCUC